UUUGUUUCUAACCUAUUGUUGAUUGUAUAUAGAUUAUAUAUGGGGAGUGCUAUUGGCCGCCUUUCGGAUUUCGACUGGACUUUCCUAAUCGAUCGUUGCUUCGUUAUUGUCUGUACGCCAUAACCUAUAUAGUCGUUCUAGGUCCGCCCUGGAGUGUGCACCAACAAAUAGAUGAUGUAAUUAUGACUGCUUAUUCAGCCUGUAGCAUAGCUUGCAGCUCAUAGUGAAAUAAUUAACCCCUUUUCUAUUAUUUACUGAUUUGUAUGUUUAUAUGAAUUCCUUAUCUUCGGAUAGGUUGAGUUUAUAUAGAUGUCGUAUAUUACUAAUACGAAACAACUCUUAGCAACGGAUAUCUUGGUUCUCGUAACGAUGAAGAGCGCAGCGAAAUGCGAUACGUAAUGCGAAUUGCAGAAUUCAGUGAAUCAUCAAAUUCUUGAACGGAACUGGCGCCUUCAGGUCUACCUGGAGGCACGUUUCUCUCAGUGUCGGUUAUACUCUCUCCAUCAACUAAGUUUACUUAGUCUGUGUGGGAAUAUGAGCAUUAUGAUGUUAAAGUUAUAUCGCUUGAAAUCGAAUGAGUUAGUUUCUCAUAGUUGGUAUUAUCUCUUCGGGGGUUUAUACCGCUGUUAACAACUUAGUGAUGUGGGUAAAUCAUUUUCGGAUGAUACUUUACAUCUAUACUAUAUUGUCUAUGGUUUACUAUGUGGAAUAUUAACGAAAAAUAGUAAUAGGGAUUAGACUUCGGUUUAAUACUUAUUCUCAUAUUUUGACCUGAGAUGAAGCGAGGCUACCCGCGGAAUUUAAGCAUAUUAUUACGCGGAGG
rnacentral:rRNA from 1 species